GACGAACGCUGGCGGCGUGCCUAAUACAUGCAAGUCGAGCGGACGGAUGGGAGCUUGCUCCCAGACCGUCAGCGGCGGACGGGUGAGUAACACGUGGGCAACCUGCCUGUAAGACUGGGAUAACUCCGGGAAACCGGGGCUAAUACCGGAUAACUCUUUCCCUCACAUGAGGGAAAGCUGAAAGAUGGCAUCUCGCUAUCACUUACAGAUGGGCCCGCGGCGCAUUAGCUAGUUGGUGAGGUAACGGCUCACCAAGGCGACGAUGCGGAGCCGACCUGAGAGGGUGAUCGGCGACCCUGGGACUGAGACACGGCCCAGACUCCUACGGGAGGCAGCAGUAGGGAAUCUUCCGCAAUGGACGAAAGUCUGACGGAGCAACGCCACGUGAGUGAUGAAGGUGUUCGGAUCGUAAAACUCUGUUGUCAGGGAAGAACAAGUACCGGAGUAACUGCCGGUACCUUGACGGUACCUGACCAGAAAGCCACGGCUAACUACGUG
rnacentral:rRNA from 1 species